UUUGUCUCGCUCACACGCUCUCUGCUUAAUUAAAAUUCAUUUCACAACACUCCCCGAUUUGUUCAUCGCAUAUCUAAUGCUUUACGACACACGUCACUCUUCAGGUUUGAAUUGUACUUGCUAGUCAUUUUUGUUUUGCUGUUUAUCUCCGUUUGCAAGUGGACUUCUUACUGCAAAAGAUGACUACUUUUGAAUUUUAUAACGUCUUGGAAGAAUAUUUGUCGCCUGACAAUUUUAACUCCAUUCGAAUGAAGAGGGAGGGAAAUGAAAUGCGACGUGUGUCUGUGAACUUUAUAAUGGAUACGUACAGCUUUUUGAUGCCCGGUGGUAACCAGCCUUCCAACUGGCUGAACAGAUGUCAGUGUACCCGAAUUCUGAGACACAACUGGAUGUCCUUUUCUUCUGCUUUUAAGAUUUCCAAUUCAGGAUGAUGUGAAGUUCAUGUUAGAUUUGCUAUUUCUACAGUUACAGUGAAGUAGAAGAGUCCGGCCGUGUUAUGGGGCAGCAGUUAAAGAAGGAAGGCGAGAUGUGGGCCAUGUUGAAGUAGUGGGUGACCCUCCUGUCCACACUUCUAGAAUCCUCCUUCUCAACCUCUGGUCUGGAUCUGCUGUGCCUUUGCCAAGUGAUCAUAAGAUAUUGAACUAUUUUGUUUUUUUCUUCUUCUGAAAACUGUCUCAGUCUCAUUACACUGGCUGCCUGUCUCACAUAGAAUCGAUUUCAAGGUUCUAUUAAAUAAUUAGAAGGCUUUGAGUACUUUAGACCCUGCCUGUAUUUUCUUUUCUCAAACGUUGCUUUGCUUUUUAUUCCAAGAUCAACCAUAAAAACUGGCAGAUUUCUGUACUCUGGAAUGCUUCGCUAGUAGAGAAGUGCCAGGCUACAAAUGUCAAGCAUUUUGAAAAACUUCAACAAGCCCACUUUUCUAAUUUGUCUUUUUCUUAAUUACUUGCAUUGAUUAUAAUAGAUUAGAAAUGGUACUGUGUACACUUUGUAAGAUCUGCACUGGGCACUAACUUAUGCUGUGUUUCUCUGUUGUCUUUUUCUAGUUUAUUGCAAUGGUGCCCCCCUGCAUCUCCACCGUCUGUUACAUCAACUCAAACUGCCUGUUGUUGCCGGAGAGAAGAAAAGUUCACAAGACGUUCUGGAAUGGAAUUGUGACUGGACUGAGAUGGCCACAAUUAUGUAUGCCGGGAUGUGCAGAGGGGGCUGUGCAGGCUUUGGUUUGGGACCCCUAGAGGUUUAUUAUCUGUGGCAAUCUUGAAAGCUGCAAGUUUGUCUUUGUCCCCGGCCAUUUGACAAUUUGCUUCUUAUUUCCUUUUAUAAUACUUUCCAUUUUCUUUGUAACUGUAUAUUUUUAUAGAGCAACUUCAGCUACACUUGUAAGCAAAAGUGAUAGAGUAAAUGUUAAGGGACAGAUCAGGAAAAAUGUCAGUUUAAAUAGAACACAUUUUUUAUGGAAUAUUGCUGGAUAAUAACUCUGACUCUGAGCAGUAUCUUGUUCAUAAAGCUAAAGUAGCAUUUUUCCGUUUUUGACAAAUUUAAUGAUUCACUUUUACUGUGUUCAAAACCUUGGCUAACAUUUUUUUUUAAUACCAAGGUAAAAAUCUGUAAAUAUGUUUGUGUUCCCUUUCUCUAAUAGUUUUAACAUCUCCCCCUUGUUGGCCAUUUUCAUUGUAUUUGUGUUCUAGUUAAAUGCAUGUACCAUUUAUACAUCUUUAUGAUUACUGCAUUUUCUACUC